CUUUUUUAUUUCACUUGAAGAUAUGGAGAUGAAUACAAGCUUGCUGGAUUCUCUGCCACUUUGCAGGCCAUCAUUUCAUUUGUGGAGAAUGGGGGUGAUCGAGUCAACUUGGUCAGAGCCGGGAAACACCAGGUUGUAUUUCUUGUGAAAGGACCUAUUUACUUGGUUUGCAUAAGCUGUACAGAAGAGUCAUAUCAGUCAUUGAGGGUACAACUAGAGCUCCUCUAUGGUCAGAUAAUACUUAUUCUUACGAAGUCUGUGAAUAGAUGUUUCGAGAAGAACUCUAAAUUUGAUAUGACUCCUUUGCUUGGAGGAACGGACGUUGUCUUCUCUUCUCUAAUUCAUUCGUUCAGUUGGUUUGUGCUAUGCUCUCACUCCCUCCUCUCUCUCUCUC